CAGUAGCCACGGUAAUACGUAGGUCCCGAGCGUUGUCCGGAUUUAUUGGGCGUAAAGCGAGCGCAGGCGGUUAGAUAAGUCUGAAGUUAAAGGCUGUGGCUUAACCAUAGUACGCUUUGGAAACUGUUUAACUUGAGUGCAGAAGGGGAGAGUGGAAUUCCAUGUGUAGCGGUGAAAUGCGUAGAUAUAUGGAGGAACACCGGUGGCGAAAGCGGCUCUCUGGUCUGUAACUGACGCUGAGGCUCGAAAGCGUGGGGAGCAAACAGGAUUAGAUACCCCUGUAGUCCCUGUCUCUUAUACA
rnacentral:rRNA from 1 species